GCGGUCCCUCUGUAAACCAUUCUGCAUCCCCCGGCUGGGGAGAGUGCCGGGAGACCGCGUUUAGAGGAUCAGUGGCGGCGGCAACCGCGGCCCGGCGCGGUGCGGGCGGCGGGCAGCGAGGUGCCCGGGUCCCCUGCUGCUCCGAUGAGGAAACUGGGGCCACGGAGAGGUUGUGUAGCUUGCCUCAGGGCACACAGCUAAGAAGAGGAGGUGGUGGGAUUUGAACUCAGGCAGUCUGGCUGAUCACAAGGAUCCCGAGGGCUGUGGGUGAAAGGACUCGUGAAGUGGUUGUCUUUUCGUCUGGACAGAAGACCUAAAAAAACAUUUCUCCAAAGAAGAUACACAGAUUACCAACAAACACAUGAAAGGAUGCUCAACAUCACUAAUCACUAGAGAAAUUCAAAUCAAAACUACAAUCAUCUCACACCGGUCAGAAUGGCCAUCAUCAAAAAAUCUACAAACAAUAAAAUGCUGGAGAGGGUGUGGAGAAAAGGGAACCCUCUUGCACUGUUGGUGGGAAUGUAAAUUGAUACAGCCACUAUGGAGAACAGUAUGGAGUUUCCUUAAAAAACUAAAAAUAGAACUACCAUAUGACCCAGCAAUCCCACUACUAGGCAUAUACCCUGAGAAGACCAUAAUUCAAAAAGAGUCAUGUACCGCAAUGUUCAUUGCAGCACUGUUUACAAUAGCCAGGACGUGGAAGCAACCUAAAUGUCCAUCGACAGAUGAAUGGAUAAAGAAGAUGUGGCACAUGUAUACAAUGGAAUAUUACUCAGCCAUAAAAAGGAACGAAACUGAGUUAUUUGUACUGAGGUGGAUGGACCUAGAGUCUGUCAUACAGAGUGAAGUAAGUCAGAAAGAGAAAAACAAAUACCGUAUGCUAAUACAUAUAUAUGGAAUCUAAGAAAAAAAAAAAAGGUUCUGAAGAACCUAGGGGCAGGACAGGAAUAAAGGCGUAGACGUAGAGAAUGGACUUGAGGACAUGGGGAGGGGGAAGGGUAAGCUGGGACAAAGUGAGAGAGUGGCAUGGACAUAUAUACACUACCAAACGUAAAAUAGAUAGCUAGUGGGAAGC